CGCCGGGGCCCGCUCGCGAUCGGGCCGGGGGCGCCGCGGGCUCGGACGCCCCUUCAUUUUGUCUCGGGUGCCGCCGCGGCCGCCGGGCCGGGGACGCGGGAGAGGCUGGGGGAGGGGAGCGGCGCGGGUGUUGGGUUACAGGCGGUGAGUCACGGCGCCCCCGCCCCCGCCGCGGAGCGCACCCCCUCCCGCCCCGCCGGGCCGGCACCCCCGCCUCGCGGGCCCCCACCCCGGCUGCGGGAGGGCUGCUUGCCCAGGGCAGCUGCGCGCCCCCGAAAGCCCAAAGAGGGGCGCGUUGACCCCGGCCCCGCGCCCUCCCCGAAGAAAGGCGGAGUCGGGGAGGAAGGGAGGCUCGGAGGCUGAAUCUGGGGCCAGCCGCCGCCGCACUGCCGCCCUCCGCCACCGUCCAGAGAGGAGGGCGACGCCUGAGAGAGGAGGAGAGCUGGGCGCUAGAGGCGCCAGGAUGGGUGCCCACCCUGCCCGCCAAGGCUGCCUUUGGAGGGCUCCUGCUAGAAUUCAGGCAAAUACAAGCAGCUGGAAGCAGAGGACUCCAAGGCCCCAGAAGAUGGUGGAGUCACCAAAUAAAAGAAGCCUGUGUCCUUGCAUCACUUUGAGGAAUAAAGCCACCACCUGACCAAGACAUUGGACUACUACGGAAAGCACUGGCAGGACUCCAGCGGGAGCAAACAAUACCGUACCACCCUGGAAAGAGUGGCUGCCAGAAAGUCAAGAGAGUACACGUCACAUGCAGGGAUGCGCUGGGGUCAUGUGGGAAGAACUCUGGCUACAAUGGAAGAGACGUUGGGUUUCCUUGAGGUUAAAUGGGGCAUUCUGGGCAGGUUGGGGCGCUAUAAAGAAUGCUCUACAUUUUGCUCCCUGCCUGGGCGAAUGCACUCAGUCACGUGAGCUAAGUGCUUACAACGGACUCAUCAUGAUUCUAGGUACUGGGGUACAGAAGUGAACAAAAGCGAAGUCCCUGCCUUCGUUCGGUUUACGGAUAGAUGAAUAAAGUAUUAUGUGUCCGGUGACGGUAAGGGCUAGCAAGACGAAUAAAGCAGGGUAAGGAGGCAGAGAAUCAUGAGGGCAGGAGGGAAAAGACUCUCUGAUAAGGUGCCAUUUGAGCAGAGGUUCCAAGGUAGUGAGAGAAUAUACCAUCUGGGUCUCUGGGGAAACUAUGGAUAUCUGGAGGAAGACCCUCCCAGGCAUAGGGUCUAGUAGGUGCAAAGACCCUGAGGCAGGAAUAUCCUUGGCAUGUUGACAGAACAGUGAGGAGGUCACUGUGAGUAGAGUGGAAAAGGAGGAAAGGAGCAGGAGUUGAGGCUGGGGAGUUAACAGAGGACCCAAUCCUGUAGGACUUUGUGGAGUGAUGGGAGAACUUUGGGUUUUAUUCCGAGUCAGGAAGGAAGCCAUUGGCCAGUUCUGAUGAGAGCAGUGACAUAAUCAGAUUUGGGUUCCAAAAGUCUCUUUGUAACCACUGUACUGAAAAUAGGAUCGAGGAAGGAGGGCAGUGAUCUGGGGAGGGACGGAGGAGGAGGUUCUGACAAAGGCUAAGGAGAGGCACCUAUAAGAACUACAAAGCAAGGACUAUAGCUCGUUGAUCAAUCUCCUCUCUGCCAUCCUUCCCCCACGUGGUCACCAUACGUGGUACCUAAAACACAGGUCUGUCUGCCCUGUAUCUCCCUCCUCUACUGAUCUCCUGUGGCCUUCAGGACAAAGUCCAAACUCCUAGCCUAACAUAGUGGGCAGCUUGACAGGGUAUGAGAGCAUCCGCAUUAGCAUCAGAAAGAGCCGGAUCAGAAUCCUGGCCCUGCCUAUCACCAGCUGUGUGACUUUGCCCAAGUCACUCGACCUCUCUGACCUUGGUUUCUUCUCUUUCCUCCUUGUCCUGUAUAUUACGACCUGCACGUCUCUGAAAGCAGGGACGUUGUCUUGUUCCCUCCGUAUAUUCAGCAUCCAGAACAAUGCCUAGCACACAGUAGGUAUUCAACAAGUUUGUGUGGAGUCAACGAAUGAGCUAAUAUAGGAGAUAGCAUCUGGCAUGGUGGCUGGCACACGGGGGCCCAGCCAUGCGUCUUUCUCUUCCUGAGUAAUGCCGGCUUCUCUUUCCCUGCCUAGUCUGACCGGCAUGGUGCUUUCCUGAUUCUUAUCCACAUCACCUCCUCCCACCAAGCACCCAUCAUUCCUGGGGUACUUCUCCCUGUUUCAUGUCUCUCCACCUUUAUACAUGCUGCACCCAAUGCCUGGGACAUCCCCUUUCCUGUCCUCCAGAUGACAAACACCUACUUGCCUCAGAUACCUAGCUUAAGACAUCACUCUGCCUCUGAUCCUGUGCUGGUGAGAACUGAAGGCUCUGUCCCCAGAGCACUCAGUUCCUGGGUCUAUUAUAGUGCUUACCUCAUGGUAUUACAGUUAUUCAAUUACGUGCCCAGCUCUGCCCAGUUGCCUGAGAGCUCCAGGGUAGUCAGGUCUAGAACAGUGCUGUCCAAUAGAAAUAUUAUGUGAGCCACGUAUAGCAUUUAAACUUCUCUAGUAGCCGCAUUAAAAACGAGUUAAAAAAAGAGAAAUUAAUUUAAUCAUAUAUUUUAUUUAACCAAGUAUGUUCAGAAUAUUUCAAUAUGUGAUCAUGAUGUAAUCAAUGUAAAAACUUAUUGAUGAGAUAUUUUACAUUCUUCUUUUUGUACUAAAUCUUCAAAAAUCCCUUGCAUAAUUUACACUUAGAAUAAAUCUUAAUUCAGAGCUAAAUUUGCAAUGGUUAAACUGAAAUAUAACCCUAGCAAAACAAUAAAGUUGUAUUUAACAGAAAAAUAUGUUCCACUGCU